rnacentral:rRNA from 1 species
UGCCAGCCGCCGCGGUAACACGGGGGGCGCAAGCGUUAUUCGGAAUUAUUGGGCGUAAAGGGCGCGCAGGCGGUCUUGUCCGUCAGGUGUGAAAGCUCGGGGCUCAACCCCGGAAGUGCACUUGAAACUGUAUGGCUAGAGUCCCGGAGGGGGUGGCGGAAUUUCCGGUGUAGAGGUGAAAUUCGUAGAUAUCGGAAGGAACACCAGUGGCGAAGGCGGCCACCUGGACGGUGACUGACGCUGAGACGCGAAAGCGUGGGAGCAAACAGCAUUAGAUA